rnacentral:rRNA from 1 species
CCUACGGGUGGCAGCAGUGGGGAAUAUUGGGCAAUGGACGCAAGCCUGACCCAGCAACGCCGCGUGAAGGAAGAAGGCUUUCGGGUUGUAAACUUCUUUUGACAGGGACGUAGCAAGUGACGGUACCUGACGAAUAAGCCACGGCUAACUACGUGCCAGCAGCCGCGGUAAUACGUAGGUGGCAAGCGUUAUCCGGAUUUACUGGGUGUAACGGGCGUGUAGGCGGGACUGUAAGUCAGAUGUGAAAACCACGGGCUCAACCUGUGGUCUGCAGUUGAAACUGUAGUUCUUGAGUACUGGAGGGGCAGACGGAAUUCCUAGUGUAGCGGUGAAAUGCGUAGAUAUUAGGAGGAACACCAGUGGCGAAGGCGAUCUGCUGGACAGCAACUGACGCUGAGGCGCGAAAGCGUGGGGAGCAAACAGGAUUAGAUACCCCUGUAGUC